AGCGAACGCUGGCGGCGUGCCUAACACAUGCAAGUCGAACGUGAAAAGGGUAACCUGAGUAAAGUGGCGUACGGGUGAGUAACACGUAGGUAAUCUACCAAAUAGUCUGGAAUAACCGGCCGAAAGGCUGGCUAAUACUGGAUAGAGCGACGGAAUCCGUAAUCGGGUUUUUCGGGAAAGGGAGCCAGCAAUGGCCUUCGCUAUUUGAUGAGCCUGCGUCUGAUUAGCUAGUUGGCGGGGUAAUGGCCCACCAAGGCGAUGAUCGGUAGCUGGUCUGAGAGGAUGAUCAGCCACACUGGAACUGAAACACGGUCCAGACUCCUACGGGAGGCAGCAGUGGGGAAUCUUGCGCAAUGGACGAAAGUCUGACGCAGCCACGCCGCGUGAGUGAAGAAGGCCUUCGGGUUGUAAAGCUCUGUCGGAGGGGACGAAAAGUCUCAUAGUUAAUAGCUAUGAGAUCUGACGGUACCCUCAAAGGAAGCACCGGCUAACUUCGUGCCAGCAGCCGCGGUAAUACGUAGGGUGCAAGCGUUGUCCGGAUUUAUUGGGCGUAAAGAGCUCGUAGGCGGUUUGAUAAGUCGGGUGUGAAACCUCCAGGCUCAACCUGGAGCCGCCACUCGAUACUGUCA
rnacentral:rRNA from 1 species